rnacentral:sRNA from 1 species
CCCAUUUGGUAGUGAGGCAGGUAUGGGGCUAGAAGCACUGGUGCCCCUGGCCGUGAUAGUGACCAUCUUCCUGCUCCUGGUGGACCUGAUGCACCGGCGCCAACGCUGGGCUGCACGCUACCCACCAGGCCCCCUGCCACUGCCCGGGCUGGGCAACCUGCUGCAUGUGGACUUCCAGAACACACCAUACUGCUUCGACCAGGUGAGGGAGGAGGUCCUGGAGGGUGGCAGAGGUGCUGAGGCUCCCCUACCAGAAGCAAACAUGGAUGGUGGGUGAAACCACAGGCUGCACCAGAAGCCAGGCUGAGAAGGGGAAGCAGGUUUGGGGGACUUCCUGGGGAAGGGCAUUUAUACAUGGCAUGAAGGACUGGAUUUUCCAAAGGCCAAGGAAGACUAGGGCAAGGGCCUCGAGGUGGAGCUGGACUUGGCAGUGGGCGUGCAAGCCCAUUGGGCAACAUAUGUUAUGGAGCACAAAGUCCCUUCUGCUGACACCAGAAGGAAAGGCCUUGGGAAUGGAAGAUGAGUUAGUCCUGAGUGCCGUUUAAAUCACGAAAUCGAGGAUGAAGGGGGUGCAGUGACCCGGUUCAAACCUUUUGCACUGUGGGUCCUCGGGCCUCACUGCUCACCGGCAUGGACCAUCAUCUGGGAAUGGGAUGCUAACUGGGGCCUCUCGGCAAUUUUGGUGACUCUUGCAAGGUCAUACCUGGGUGACGCAUCCAAACUGAGUUCCUCCAUCACAGAAGGUGUGACCCCCACCCCCGCCCCAGGAUCAGGAGGCUGGGUCUCCUCCUUCCACCUGCUCACUCCUGGUAGCCCCGGGGGUCGUCCAAGGUUCAAAUAGGACUAGGACCUGUAGUCUGGGGUGAUCCUGGCUUGACAGAGGCCCUGACCCUCCCUCUGCAGUUGCGGCGCCGCUUCGGGGACGUGUUCAGCCUGCAGCUGGCUUGGACGCCGGUGGUCGUGCUCAAUGGGCUGGCGGCCGUGCGCGAGGCGCUGGUGACCCACGGCGAGGACACCGCCGACCGCCCCCCUGUGCCCAUCACCCAGAUCCUGGGUUUUGGGCCGCGUUCCCAAGGGGUGUUCCUGGCGCGCUAUGGGCCCGCGUGGCGCGAGCAGAGGCGCUUCUCCGUGUCCACCUUGCGCAACUUGGGCCUGGGCAAGAAGUCGCUGGAGCAGUGGGUGACCGAGGAGGCCGCCUGCCUUUGUGCCGCCUUCGCCAACCACUCCGGACGCCCCUUUCGCCCCAACGGCCUCUUGGACAAAGCUGUGAGCAACGUGAUCGCCUCCCUCACCUGCGGGCGCCGCUUCGAGUACGACGACCCUCGCUUCCUCAGGCUGCUGGACCUAGCUCAGGAGGGACUGAAGGAGGAGUCGGGCUUUCUGCGCGAGGUGCUGAAUGCCAUCCCCGUCCUCCUGCACAUCCCAGCGCUGGCUGGCAAGGUCCUACGCUUCCAAAAGGCUUUCCUGACCCAGCUGGAUGAGCUGCUAACUGAGCACAGGAUGACCUGGGACCCAGCCCAGCCCCCCCGAGACCUGACUGAGGCCUUCCUGGCAGAGAUGGAGAAGGCCAAGGGGAACCCUGAGAGCAGCUUCAAUGAUGAGAACCUGCGCAUAGUGGUGGCUGACCUGUUCUCUGCCGGGAUAGUGACCACCUCGACCACGCUGGCCUGGGGCCUCCUGCUCAUGAUCCUACAUCCGGAUGUGCAGCGCCGUGUCCAACAGGAGAUCGACGACGUGAUAGGGCAGGUGCGGCGACCAGAGAUGGGUGACCAGGCUCGCAUGCCCUACACCACUGCCGUGAUUCACGAGGUGCAGCGCUUUGGGGACAUCGUCCCCCUGGGUGUGACCCAUAUGACAUCCCGUGACAUCGAAGUACAGGGCUUCCGCAUCCCUAAGGGCACGACGCUCUUCACCAACCUGUCAUCAGUGCUGAAGGAUAAGGCUGUCUGGGAGAAGCCCUUCCGCUUCCACCCCGAACACUUCCUGGAUGCCCAGGGCCACUUUGUGAAGCCGGAGGCCUUCCUGCCUUUCUCAGCAGGCCGCCGCGCAUGCCUCGGGGAGCCCCUGGCCCGCAUGGAGCUCUUCCUCUUCUUCACCUCCCUGCUGCAGCACUUCAGCUUCUCGGUGCCCACCGGACAGCCCCGGCCCAGCCACCAUGGUGUCUUUGCUUUCCUGGUGACCCCAUCCCCCUAUGAGCUUUGUGCUGUGCCCCGCUAGAAUGGGGUACCUAGUCCCCAGCCUGCUCCCUAGCCAGGG